CUGGCAAUGAUGAUUGGCGCAGGGGUACGGACCUCAGCUGGAUAAUGGGAGCUGAGUGUGGAUGUUACUUGCUCAGCUUACAUGUGGUGGGUUGUUUGAGAAGCAUCCACACGAGAAAAACGCCAAGGUCUGAGCCAG